rnacentral:rRNA from 1 species
AUUGAACGCUGUCGGCAUGCCUUACACAUGCAAGUCGAACGGCAGCACGGGAGCAAUCCUGGUGGCGAGUGGCGAACGGGUGAGUAAUAUAUCGGAACGUGCCCAGUAGUGGGGGAUAGCCCGGCGAAAGCCGGGUUAAUACCGCAUGAGACCUGAGGGUGAAAGCGGGGGAUCGCAAGACCUCGCGCUAUUGGAGCGGCCGAUAUCAGAUUAGCUAGUUGGUGGGGUAAAGGCCUACCAAGGCAACGAUCUGUAGUUGGUCUGAGAGGACGACCAGCCACACUGGGACUGAGACACGGCCCAGACUCCUACGGGAGGCAGCAGUGGGGAAUUUUGGACAAUGGGCGCAAGCCUGAUCCAGCAAUGCCGCGUGCAGGAAGAAGGCCUUCGGGUUGUAAACUGCUUUUGUCAGGGAAGAAAUCUUCUGGGCUAAUAUCCCGGGAGGAUGACGGUACCUGAAGAAUAAGCACCGGCUAACUACGUGCCAGCCGCCGCAGUAAGAC